AUGCCAUGAUAAGGGUACUUUCGUAAUAACUCCUUGAACUACUCCCAUGCCUUAGAUAAAAAUUCUUUGUCAAGUUGCUGAAACAAAGUAAUUUCAUUUCAGAUCUU
rnacentral:snoRNA from 1 species